rnacentral:lncRNA from 1 species
AGCGGCGCUGGCUGGAGCUGAGAUGGAAUUAAUCACGGGAAGACUUCUUGAAAACUGACGAAAAGGAGAAAAAAAAAUCUUUCGUAAAUUAGUAUGUAAUUACCGAUUUUAUAUGCUAAAUCAUACAUCUGUGUUUUGCUGAUGAGGAUAAGGGCCUUGUUUUUAAAAAAACGAAUAUGGGUGAAAUUAAUGGAAACAAUAGAAAAAGCCAUUUGUUAGAAAACAAGGACACCAAAUGAUAUUUAUCUCCAGAUGAUUUAAGCACUUUCCAAAAAGACUUGAGAGUUCAAUAUUUUUUAAGGAUUGCAUUUUAAAGGGAAUUUGGAUAGUCGUUCUUUUGUUAACAUUUAACAAAAGAUUCUCCUUAAAAAUGUUAGAUAAUAAACUGCAUUUUAUGGGUCUGGUUUAAAAAGGUUAUUUGUGGGGAAAGGACCAACAAGCUGUAUUGUGGUUUUCUAGAUUGUUUCCUCAAGCCUUGUAACCUCCUAGCUCCUUACAUUCCUAGUGGGAAAUACUUGCUGCAAAUGCCUUGGGCUGCACUGUAAGCCCAAGUGUGCUGCACCAGUGUGAUGCCCUAUACUAAAACAUCCAGAAAUCAUCAUACAUAUGAGGAAGAAGAAAUAAAGCCUCAAACCCUUUGGAAUAAUAGGAUAUAAAAUUGCCUUUUGUAACUGAAUCUUAAAAAUGGAAGGUUACCAUGACUUGUCCUAUUGCAACCUGGUUAUCAGAAUAACUUAUUUUUUUUAAGAUAGCUAUUCUCAAAUACUGAACAUAUUUGCAUCUUUAAAGACACUUUAUUCUAUUCAAUUAUAGGUAAAGUAGCCUAUUUCUAGGUGGUUAGGCUUGAAAAGAUAGACUGAAAAGAUAGGAAAUUUUGUAUGCCUUUUUGCAAAUUGUAUUUACUUCUAAGACCGAUGCUGUUUUAGCUUAACUUUUAAAAAAGUGUUCUUCAAAUAAUUGUAAUAUUUUACACGAUCUUGAAGUUCUUCAAAUAAACAGAGUUUAGAAACUAAAAA